GUCAUAAUUAUUCUUGAGUCUCUUCCUGAAGAGUUUGAACAAUUUAAGGUCAACUAUAACUCUCUAAAGGAAAAAUGGCCACUCUCUGAGAUGACCGCAAGGAUCGUCCAGGAGGAAGAAAGGAUCAUGAGGCAGAAGAAAGACCAUGUCUUUCAUGUUGGCUCUAACAAGAGAAAGCAUGACGGACAAGGUUUCCCUAAGCCUCAGAAAAGGCAAGUCAAGAAAGAAGGCACUAAGCCAUUCAACCCUAAGGCAUUCAAGGGUAAAGAAGCCGGUGGUUCUUCUGCUCCUAGCAGCUCCACUGCUGGAGAAAAUGCUUGUAACUUCUGCAAAGAAGAGGGACACUAUCAAAGGGACUGCCCAGGCUUUCUAAAAUGGAUGAACAAAAGAGGGAUUCGAUACGAUCCAAACCAU
rnacentral:rRNA from 1 species